UCAGAACCUUCCUGCCGCCGCGUUCGCACCUCGCUCCUCCAGCGUCUGGGGCGCAUUCCAACCUUCCAGCCUGCGACCUGCAGAAAAAAAAAUUACUUAUUUUCUUGCCGCAUACAUACCUUGAGGCGAGCAAAAAAUAAUAAAUUUUAACCAUGAGGGAAAUCGUGCACAUCCAGGCCGGUCAAUGUGGCAACCAGAUCGGUGCCAAGUUCUGGGAGGUGAUCAGUGAUGAACAUGGCAUUGACCCCACCGGCACCUACCACGGGGACAGCGACCUGCAGCUGGACCGCAUCUCCGUGUACUACAAUGAAGCCACAGGUGGCAAAUAUGUUCCUCGUGCCAUCCUGGUGGAUCUAGAACCUGGGACCAUGGACUCUGUUUGCUCAGGUCCUUUUGGCCAGAUCUUUAGACCAGACAACUUUGUAUUUGGUCAGUCUGGGGCAGGUAACAACUGGGCCAAAGGCCACUACACAGAGGGGGCUGAGCUGGUUGAUUCUGUCCUGGAUGUGGUAGGGAAGGAAGCAGAGAGCUGUGACUGCCUGCAGGGCUUCCAGCUGACCCACUCACUGGGUGGAGGCACAGGCUCUGGAAUGGGCACUCUCCUUAUCAGCAAGAUACGAGAAGAGUACCCUGAUCGCAUCAUGAACACCUUCAGUGUAGUUCCUUCACCCAAAGUAUCUGACACCGUGGUUGAGCCCUACAAUGCCACCCUCUCCGUCCAUCAGUUGGUAGAGAACACUGAUGAGACCUAUUGCAUUGACAACGAGGCCCUCUAUGAUAUCUGCUUCCGUACUCUGAAGCUGACCACACCAACCUACGGGGAUCUGAACCACCUUGUCUCAGCCACCAUGAACGGUGUCACCACCUGCCUCUGCUUCCCUGGCCAGCUCAAUGCUGACCUCCGCAAGUUGGCAGUCAACAUGGUCCCCUUCCCACGCCUCCAUUUCUUUAUGCCUGGCUUUGCCCCUCUCACCAGCCAUGGAAGCCAGCAAUAUCGAGCUCUUACAGUGCCAGAACUCACCCAGCAGGUCUUCGAUGCCAAGAACAUGAUGGCUGCCUGUGACCCCCGCCACGGCCGAUACCUCACCGUGGCUGCUCUCUUCCGUGGUCGGAUGUCCAUGAAGGAGGUCGAUGAGCAGAUGCUUAACGUGCAGAACAAAAACAGCAGCUACUUUGUGGAAUGGAUCCCCAACAACGUCAAGACAGCUGUCUGUGACAUCCCACCUCGUGGCCUCAAGAUGGCAGUCACCUUCAUUGGCAACAGCACGGCCAUCCAGGAGCUCUUCAAGCGCAUCUCGGAGCAGUUCACUGCCAUGUUCCGCCGGAAGGCCUUCCUCCACUGGUACACAGGCGAGGGCAUGGACGAGAUGGAGUUCACUGAGGCUGAGAGCAACAUGAACGACCUCGUCUCUGAGUAUCAGCAGUACCAGGAUGCCACCGCAGAAGAGGAGGAGGAUUUCGGUGAGGAGGCCGAAGAGGAGGCCUAAGGCAGAGCCCCCAUCACCUCAGGCUUCUCAGUUCCCUUAGCCCUCUUACUCAACUGCCCCUUUCCUCUCCCUCAGAAUUUGUGUUUGCUGCCUCUAUCUUGUUUUUUGUUUUUUCUUCUGGGGGGGUCUAGAACAGUGCCUGGCACAUAGUAGGCGCUCAAUAAAUACUUGUUUGUUGAAAAAAAAAAAAA